rnacentral:rRNA from 1 species
UACGUAGGGGGCUAGCGUUGUCCGGAUUUAUUGGGCGUAAAGAGCGUGUAGGCGGCCAGGUAGGUCUGCUGUGAAAAACUCGAGGCUCAACCUCGAGAUGUCGGCGGAAACCAUCUGGCUAGAGUCCGGAAGAGGAGAGUGGAAUUCCUGGUGUAGCGGUGAAAUGCGCAGAUAUCAGGAAGAACACCAAUGGCGAAAGCAGCUCUCUGGGACGGUACUGACGCUGAGACGCGAAAGCGUGGGGAGCGAACAGG